UACGAAGGGGGCUAGCGUUGUUCGGAGUUACUGGGCGUAAAGGGCGCGUAGGCGGCGCACUAAGUCAGGCGUGAAAGCCCUGGGCUCAACCCGGGAAUUGCGCUUGAGACUGGUGUGCUCGAGUACGGGAGAGGAUAGUGGAAUUCCCAGUGUAGAGGUGAAAUUCGUAGAUAUUGGGAAGAACACCGGUGGCGAAGGCGGCUAUCUGGACCGUAACUGACGCUGAGGCGCGAAAGCGUGGGGAGCAAACAGG
rnacentral:rRNA from 1 species